UCCUCUAGCUACAUAACAAAUAUAUUUCUUAUAAAAUGGGAAAGGAACAGGGAAGAAUGUAACACUUUAGGAUUUGCUACUAGGUUUUAUGUACAUACCUUGUAAGUUCUGUCUUAAUGUCCCAUUGGAGACAUAUUCGUAUACCAGCAUCUGCUCCCCUUGUUCAUAGCAAAAUCCUAGCAGACUUACCAGGUUCUUGUGGUGGACUCUGGAUAGCAACUCAAUCUCAUUUUUGAACUCCACUGCACCUUGCUUUGAUCCAUACUCUGCUCGUUUUAUGGCCACAUUUGUUCCAUCUACCAGUAUUGCCUUGUAAACCUUUCACAUGUGAAGAUGAAUCAUUUAUUAGCUGUCUAUGUAAAACUCCUUAAAAGGAACUCCAAUAAUGCAGAGGCUGGGAUAAUGUUUUAUUCCAUCAUCUAUUUUGUAUGCAUAGCUGUUUACCUUUCCAUAACCUCCUGAUCCUAUUUCAUUGUUCUCUGCAAAAUUGUUGGUGCAAGUCUUCAGUUCAUCAAAAGAAAAGAACCUUGCUCCUUUCAGCUGUGGAGCACCUCCACUGUCCUUUUUUGCAAUUCCCCAUGAAGCUAAAAUUUGAAUAUGGAUGAGGUAAAUAAUCAGUGAAGUUUUAGCAAACUACAGUUAUUUUGACCUUUUCUAUGCGUUAUUACUGCUUACAUGCAUCUGAACACUAUAUUUUUGUAGUUAGACACAUUUUCUGCUACAAUUUUGUAAGCUUUGAAAGACUGGGUAUUUAAAUAGGAUUCGAAAAUUGGAUGUUGGUUUGGCAUGCUGACCUAGUUAGUAUACAUAGCUGUGUCAAUUCUGUUGUAUAUGUUGAUCAUAUCUCUAAAUUACAGCCUAUCAGGCUACCAUUUAGUUAACUAACUUGAAUCCUGCUUAAUUACACUUCUAGGUAAUCUCAUAACAUGAUAAUAUGGAUAUUCUUAUAUGAAGUAAAAUUGUAUUUUUUGUACAAUCUAGCACCAAUAAGCUGUAUUUGUUAUACAUCUGGAAGUCUGUAACAGCUCUAGCAAACCAUUGGCACUCUAUACUGUUACAAUCCAUUCUCAUCAAAUAAAUGGCAUACAUGUUUCCCAUUUUUGCUUUAUCAAUGAGAGGUCAUGUAGACUUUUUUAUCUGGUUUUAUUAGUUUUAUAUCGGGGUGUCUUUCUCACUGGUUUUAUAUAUAUGUGUAUAGAUUUACUACAAAAUAAAGAACUUUAUUAAUUGGCGCAACCAUGGAAAACACAUUCUGAUAAUUUAAUGUUUUUCUUCUUAAAGAAAUGUUUGGUAGCUUUGAGAGCUAUACAGUUGUCAGCCAUAUUAUUUGGAAUCUCACCGAAAGGAUUUGUUUGUCCUGAUAAUUCCCUAGUUCUUCUCUUUUGUAAUAAACAAAAUAUUGCCCCAGAAGUUACAGCAAUCAGAAUAAGACCACAUGCUACUGCAAUUCCAGCGACAGCACCUGUGCUUACUUGCGAUUUUCCACCAUCAGCUGGUCCUGAGACAAGAUAGCCUAAUGUAUUUCAUGCAUGAUUACUUGCAUACAGACAUAAUUUUACAUGAUUAGAUUUGAUUAUUUUAAUACCUGCAAAGUGGACAUAUGGAUCUGCAACAAAGUAAUAAGGUCCAAAACCUUGUGGUGGCUUGUAAGUUUGAUUGCUAAGAUCAAAGCCUAUCCUCGUUACUUCUGACAAGUUAAAGGAUGUUCCAGUCGAUGGAAAUAGUCUGACUUGAACUUGGAGGUUAUCAUCACUGGUGAAGUGGAUAUCAGAAAGGAAAACUGAACCAUGUUGCAGUCCCAGCUCUGUUGAGAGGCUAGCUUCCAAUAGCUGAAAGUGCUCAUUGUCUCUCAAGUCUGCAAACAAUGGUGACCUGAAAAAAAUUUUACCCAUGUAGGGAUAGGCGCAGCCGCAAUUCGCAGGGUCUAGACUUUGAUCACUGGAACAAGAAACUGAACCACAAUGGGUUACACUAGUAGUGUAUGAUGUUAUGCUAUCUUGCUUGAUACUGCAAAAGGGGCUACUGGAGAAGUCAGGAUCCAAGCACACAGGAUUUCCCACAAGUCUGCCGAUAGAGGAAGAGACAAUUCUAGUGAGUAAAUGGGGACUAGAAGCAGCAUGUCGUCUUUGGUUUUGAAGCAUGCAAGUACUCACACUAGUGUUCUGUUGUAGCUUUGUGUUAUCUGGGCUGCAACUAUACGGUUGUUUAGCAGAUUGACUUGCUGCAGUUGUUGAGUGAUGCUGCCAGUCAUGUCAAGUGUCCCGUUGAAGGCAUUAUUGCUUAGAAUACUGUCUGAUCAGUGACAAAAAUAAGCAAACAUGUGAAACUUUGCUAGUUAUUAAAAUUUAUCUUGCUGUAUGUUUCCAGAAAAUUACACUUGCUGCAGUCUGGGCAAGGUAAAGAUCCUGUUGGGAAUCUGACCAUACAGUCCUCCAGAAGCUAUUGCUCUGCAUGUUAGGAUUUUACAAGGUGACAUUGUUUCACUAAAUGAGAAAAUAUAGUGCAGUGAGACUUGUAGUGCAUGUCUUAAACAACUCACACUGAAGCAAGUGUUUCCACUGUCAGCAUCCAGGUUGGUAUGGCAGACGGAUCAAAUGAAUUGUUGCUUAAAUCGCUGGGUGUGAAAAGAAAAUUCAUUAGUACUUGGCACCAUGUUUAUAUCUGAUGACAGUGCAGAAUAGAAGACAAGGGCGAUAUCUUACACCACAUUAAGUUUUGUCAGGGUACUGAGAUCUGGCAUUGUUCCAAGCAGCUGGUUGUCUGCAAAAUUCCUGCAGAAGAUAGUUAUUCAAAUGAAAUACACUGGAAACUCUUAACUUAUGCUUAUGUGUUGUCGUUUGACCGGGAGGUAAAAAUUGAUACAGCACUUACAGUACAUUUAGGUCAACUAGGUUGCUGAUAUUGGUUGGAACUGCUCCUGUGAAUUUAUUAUUGUCUAAUCGGCUGAUGAAGAUGCAAAGAAGUCAACAUUAAUGCUGAGAAUAUGUUUGGAAUAAAGAAAAAUGGCUAUAUACUCACAGAAUCUGGAGGGUGGUGAUGCUACCAAGUUCAGCAGGGAUAGAACCAGUCAAUUGGUUGUUGUCAAAUAAUCUUAUGAAGAUAAACAAAGUGGUCAGUACAAUACUUUAAUGUGUAAGCAUUACUGGCAUUAGAAAUUAGUGCUGCCUUACAUAUGUUCGAGUGUCAUGCUAGGGCUGAAGAGGCCGUCGAGAUUACCAGUUAAUUGGUUUCUACUGAAAUGGCUGUUAAUUGAUCGGAACAGAGUAUCAGCAUGGCAGGAGCACGAGUAAAAGCAUGCAUACUGAUCAUCCGUUCUUGAUUAAUGAGAGAUAAGAAAUGUUAGAGGAUCUUACAAAUGUUUGGUGUUUGUAAGUAGGUCAAGUCCUGGAGAAAUCGGAACAGGACCAGAAAGUUGAUUUUCUGACAAGUCUAGCCAGAAGAGGUUUUUGAGUAGGCCAAUUGAAGCGGGAAUUCUGCCUGAAAAUUUGUUUGAAUUCAUUGCCCUGCAGAGUAUAUUUCAUCGCUAGUCCAUUUCAUCAGUAUAGGCAAAGCAGCAGCAGUGAGGUAACAAGAACACUGAGUUGGGAUUAAGAUAUUCUCAGUGUAAUAAUUCUUACAAGAAUGAGAGCUGCACCAAGUUUCCUAAUUCUUCGGGAAUGCCUCCUGUGAAGCUGCAGCCAGCCAAGAUUCUGAAGAUCACAACGCAUUAGUGUAUGAUGAGCUGAACUGAAAUAACGAUGUCAAUGCUUUGGAAGCUCAGAUAACGACAUAGUUACUUCCAUUGUUUCUGCAGGGAAUGUGAGCUGUGAUAAGUUGCCUAUUUCUUCCGGGAUAUUCCCUGUGAACUUGCAUCCAAGCAAAAUCCUGAGAGAACCAAGAGUGGUGAGCUGCUUCAGAUUUCCAAUAUUUUGAGUAAGUCGACCCCCGAGGUUUUGGUUAUUAGACAGGUCCCUGCAUGUAGUUUAUGGCAGUAGCUUAAUGGAUGUUUUCUCUUUUGUUGAUCUCUAGGUAAACUGGUAGGUUGUACUAGCAUCUAACUGACUGUAGUUCUAUGUUGUGAUAAGAUUUCUUGAGAAAAUUCUUAAUUAUUAUUGUUAGUUCAAGUGAGUUAUUUUCAUUCCGAGGACAGGGGACUCACAGAUAUUUCAAAGCAGAUAGUUGGCCUAUGGCAUUGCUUAAUGUACCUUGCAGAUUCAUGCUUGCUAAUCUCCUGCAAACACCAGGUUUCAUCAGAGCAUUUGAUUAUUUGUUAAGAGAAGAAGUUUUAUUGAGCACUCACAUUUCUGUCACCCGACCAUUGGAACAGGAAAUUCCAACCCAGGAGGUGCAGGGAUCGGUUGAACCUGUCCAGCUUUCUGGUUCAUUUUUCCAAUUAUCCAUCAAAGCCUUAAGUGCAGCAACUGUAGAAAAUCAUUAAGCCAACAUCAGUUGCUCAUUUCUGCAUUAAUAACUCUAGUAGCUGAUUAGUUCUUAGGAUCGUAAAUUCAUGUGAGAGAAUAUAUGCAAGUACCAUUUCAAGGAAGUCAAAGAGAGUUAAGCCUAAGAAAGAAAAUAGCAAGAAAAAAACACUGUUCAGUGUUAAGCUUUAUGUUUUAUCAUGAGAACAUACUUCAUACAUAACCACGACUUUCUAAAUGUGAUCCAUUUGGUCUUGUGGAUUUGAUUACAUUACAGUUCUGCAUGACGUUGACUAAUGAACUGAUGCAAAAACAUUAAUUCAAAGGUAACACAAACUGACUUAUGCCGAAAAAAUCUUCUUGUUUUGUUGAAUAGAAAUAAUUCUAAAAAAUUGAAGACAGCCAAAUUUAAAAUGAACAAACUUUGAUGUAACUGAAUGAGGUUAAAUGUUUUUUAUCUGCUGGUAACUAAUGUUCAUUGUAAUCAAAACAUUCUCAGAUUAUCAUCCUGGUAGAACUAAUCUAGCUGAACAUUUUUUCAGGUCAACAGGGCACUCUGUGGAUAAUUCUAUCCUACAAAGAUGGCAGCAUGCUUCCUAUAUCCUGAUCAAAUGCAAAACAUCAAGGCUUACCAUCUUGGGAGUUCGUCUGACUGAAACUUGGCCGGAGGUAUACCAAGAGCAAGAACAGAAGUAGCAGCUGCUGCAUCGCCACCAUGACGUGCUCUUCUGGGUUAGGCCUCAACACAAGUUGCAGCAGACCAGAGCUAACUCUGAUGGCUAUCCUUGGAGAAGUCUAUGCAAUGAGCUAAUGGACAAGCGCUGCUACCAAAUGGCGCCGCUCUUCUUCCAGAGGUUGGAACCAGGCAAAGCAGAUAGUGUUUCAACCAAAACAAUCUUGCAUCACCCGAUUCAGAAGAAUCUCUCGUCAAUUAUUGCCUGGGCUGGUUAAUGGGUCCAAGCAAUGGAUAUGCUCAUAAGAACGCACGCGUGCAACCGUAUGGGAAGCCUUAAACAAGGCUACAAAGAGCUCAGUUGAACUGAUCAAAACAUGAAAUGGUUGAAGAAAAAUGUUUCUGUAUUCCUAGUUGGUAGUGGGGCAGUUGCUUCCUGUCCUCAACGGGGUAAAACCUUAAACAUUGCUUCUUUCUAAGCUUUGACCCGGUCAUGGUUAUUAGUUAACUAGAUUAAUACGGCCACAGGUUGGACAGUUGCGACAUAGGCCCACACUUCAGAAACGUGUUAUGCUGUGCAACUGCUGUAUUCUUUCCGUUGUGCAGGUAAGAGCCAGAGGAGAUGUGCAUUGGACCUGGGCCUGGCUGCUAGCUCUGAUGAUGUGGAUUUGGCGUCAUGACAAGGAUAUUACACACUAAAAGCUUCAAAGGAAUGUCAGAAAGAAUGUGCAGACGAUUGCACUGCUCUCCUGGAAUCCUUGGCAGUUUGCAAACGCUGCGGUUUAAACCUGGCUCUAACACAACGGGCUUAUCUAAACACAUUUGGAAGGGUCCGACUGUUCUUUUUCUUCUUCUUCUUGAGGGGAGGCGGCAAAUGAUUAUGCUAUUUGUUCACUAAUAGAAAAUGGGUCCGGAAGGCCAGGUUUUGGAUGCACAUGCUCAACUGGUUCCUUUGUCGGGAUUGCCGAAAGCUUGCCAGGCAGAUAAACUUUUGGUGCAUGCCAGAAAAUGCAGAUAGAGGACGGCUUGCAUGCACACAGAAGGUUCUUUCUGCACGGAGCCAAAGUGUGGCCGGCAGGCUGAUGCUUGCACUGGCCGAUGAAAGAUUUCUUGAAAGGAAUUGUCCGUCUUUUCUCUCCCGUUCCUUCAGUGCGUGAUUGCAAUUUUGUAUUAUUCUUGUUCGCCAUUGAGCCCGUCGUAUAUGUUGCCUUUGCAAAUGUUGGUGAACAGAGUUUGGCAGUAUCUUUCCCCCUUUUUUCGUUGUGGAUGAUGAAAUGCGGUUGUUGGGCGAUUCUUGGGCGGAAUAACGGUCAGAGGGAAAGCCAGAUGCCGUUUACUUCUCAUCUAAAAAACUUCAAUGUGUUUGGAACAA